UUUAUAGCAAGAGUUAUUGUUUAAUUAAUCUUAAAACCAUAAUUUACGUUAAGCCAUUUCAUGAUGAAGUUUUCGUUGAUUAUUUUGAUCUCUUUUAUUUUCAUUCAACUAUUGCCAAUGGAUGUGUCUGGGAAGUCGCAUGGCGUUACAGAUGACAAUUACGCGAACAGAAGAUCGUUCACGGUGUCAUUCAAGUCUAUGGGUUCUCUUAGAAGUGUUCCCAAAAAACGGAAGAUCAACUUUAAACAUUUUCCGUCUCUUUUUAAUUAAGUUUGAGGAAAUAAAAUGCACUUUACCAAAUCUCUCUCAAUUUUAAACUAAAAGAUUAUAUCGUAUGUGUUAAAAUAUAAUGCAAUAAUUGUUAUC